rnacentral:rRNA from 1 species
GUAGUCCACGCCGUAAACGAUGGAUACUAGCUGUUGGACUGCAAGGUUCAGUGGCUAAGCGAAAGUGAUAAGUAUCCCACCUGGGGAGUACGAACGCAAGUUUGAAACUCAAAGGAAUUGACGGGGGCCCGCACAAGCGGUGGAGCAUGUGGUUUAAUUCGAUGAUACGCGAGGAACCUUACCAAGGCUUAAAUGUAGAUUGACAGGUUUGGAAACAGACUUUUCUUCGGACAAUUUACAAGGUGCUGCAUGGUUGUCGUCAGCUCGUGCCGUGAGGUGUCAGGUUAAGUCCUAUAACGAGCGCAACCCCUGUCGUUAGUUGCCAGCGAGUCAUGUCGGGAACUCUAACGAGACUGCCAGUGCAAACUGUGA